CAGAAAUCACAUCAGAACACAACAGAAGGAGGAGAUGUGGAGGAAUCUAGUGCUACACACAGGAGACGCUUGAGGAGGACACACACCUGACUAACACACUCUCAGACAGUGGAUUUAGCAGCUGUGGACCAAAACAAUAUAGAUCGCUUGUAGUGUUAUGCUGAAUUUUGCAUGGUGUAGCUUUAAUCAUGCUCCUUUAUAUCAUAUAUUUGUACAGUUUGUUGCAAGUGGAUGGCGUAAUAAAUCAGCAUGAAUGAACCGGCCAGAAGAAACAGCACAGCGAGGUUCAGAAGGAUCCGGAAGAGGACGAGCCGAACCCACUGUGUGAGCGUUCGCUGCUUGACUCGUGCAUGAAACGCCUGCUCUUCUAGAUCCAUCUGGAGAAGAGGUCAGAGUGUGCUCCAGUCUGGAUUCUGGGUUUCAGUGGAUUCUUGUCUGAACAGCAGUGUUGGCACCAGCACCGAUCCGCCAAUGAUCACACAGUACAGCAGGUUUAAACCCAGCAGGCAGACGGGCAGGUUUCUGAGAGGCACACUGGGGUUCCAGCAGAUUCUGUCCAAUCGCAAGCUCUCUUUCUGGUCAUGUGUG